ensembl:lncRNA
AUGGAGCUGAAUAACAUAAUGGAGCUGGAUAACGUAAUGGAGCUGGAUAACGUAAUGGAGCUGGAUAACAUAAUGGAGCUGAAUAACAUAAUGGAGCUGAAUAACAUAAUGGAGCUGGAUAACGUAAUGGAGCUGGAUAACAUAAUGGAGCUGAAUAACAUAAUGGAGCUGGAUAACAUAAUGGAGCUGGAUAACGUAAUGGAGCUGGAUAACGUAAUGGAGCUGGAUAACAUAAUGGAGCUGAAUAACAUAAUGGAGCUGAAUAACAUAAUGGAGCUGGAUAACGUAAUGGAGCUGGAUAACGUAAUGGAGCUGGAUAACAUAAUGGAGCUGAAUAACAUAAUGGAGCUGAAUAACAUAAUGGAGCUGGAUAACGUAAUGGAGCUGGAUAACAUAAUGGAGCUGAAUAACAUAAUGGAGCUGGAUAACAUAAUGGAGCUGGAUAACGUAAUGGAGCUGGAUAACGUAAUGGAGCUGGAUAACAUAAUGGAGCUGGAUAACAUAAUGGAGCUGGAUAACAUAAUGGAGCUGGAUAACAUAAUGGAGCUGAAUAACAUAAUGGAGCUGGAUAACGUAAUGGAGCUGGAUAACGUAAUGGAGCUGAAUAAUAUAAUGGAGCUGAAUAACAUAAUGGAGCUGGAUAACGUAAUGGAGCUGGAUAACGUCAUGGAGCUGGAUUACAUAAUGGAGCUGGAUAAUGUAAUGGAGCUGGAUAACGUAAUGGAGCUGGAUAAUGUAAUGGAGCUGGAUAACGUCAUGGAGCUGGAUAAUGUAAUGGAGCUGGAUAACGUAAUGGAGCUGGAUAACUUAAUGGAGCUGGAUAACGUAAUGGAGCUGGAUAACGUAUUGGAGCUGGAUAACGUAAUGGAGCUGGAUAACGUCAUGGAGCUGGAUUACAUAAUGGAGCUGUCAUAUCAAAUAGCUUACUUAAGAACAAUCCAAUCAUACAGUGCCUUGCGAAAGUAUUCGGCCCCCUUGAACUUUGCAACCUUUUGCCACAUUUCAGGCUUCAAACAUAAAGAUAUAAAACUGUAUUUUUUUGUGAAGAAUCAACAACAAGUGGGACACAAUCAUGAAGUGGAACAACAUUUAUUGGAUAUUUCAAACUUUUUUAACAAAUCAAAAACUGAAAAAUUGGGCGUGCAAAAUUAUUCAGCCCCCUUAAGUUAA